rnacentral:rRNA from 1 species
GAUGAACGCUGGCGGCGUGCCUAAUACAUGCAAGUCGAGCGAACAGACGAGUAGCUUGCUCCUCUGACGUUAGCGGCGUACGGGUGAGUAACACGUGGAUAACCUACCUAUAAGACUGGGAUAACUUCGGGAAACCGGUGCUAAUACCGGAUAAUAUAUUGAACCGCAUGGUUCAAUAGUUAAAGCCGGUUUUGCUGUCACUUCUAGAUGUAUCCGGGCCGCAUUAGCUAGUUGGUAAGGUAACGGCUUACCAAGGCAACGAUGCGUAGACGACCUGAGAGGGGGAUAGGCGACACUGGAACUGAGACACGGACAAGACUCCUAAGGGAGGCAGCAGAAGGGAAUCGUAGGCAAUGGGCGAAAGCAUGACGGAGCAAGGCCGAGUGAGUGAUGAAGGUCUUCGGAUCGUAAAACUCUGUUAUGAGGGAAGAACAAAUGUGUAAGUAACUAUGCACGUCUUGACGGUACCUAAUCAGAAAGCCACGGCUAACUACGUG